AUCAAUAAUAGUUGGCCUUGACUAAGGAAUACUGGAUUGAACAAUGACCAAGAUUGUUGAUUCUCUAGUGGCUCGAAGAUUGCUUCUUAAUAACUAAUAAAAACCCAGGUCCAUUGGAGUUUAGAGACCAUCUCUAAUUGAUUGUUAUAAAAUAUUGUUUUCUGCAAAGAAAGAGAUAAAAUAUCACCUAGACCAAUGCUUCUUUGAAGAAGACCAAAUAUA
rnacentral:misc_RNA from 1 species